rnacentral:tRNA from 1 species
GGGCCUGUGGUCUAGUGGUUAGGACGCGGCCUUGACAUGGCCGUAGCAGCAGUUCGAUUCUGCUCAGGCCCA